GCCAUCAACAUCAAUGACUGCAACGAGGACCGCACGUGCAUACGUGCCGUGGAUGUGUGAGCGAGCACAUGUGCCGCGGCAGGCUUGAAAACGAUUCUUCGCCUUGCGCCGUUGUCGCCCCAUGCAAUAGAAGUGCCUCGUUACAUACGGCGACAGAAAUGUCGUCGUCGCUUUCGGCGAGCCACAAAAAAGGGCGGGAUUUAAUUGAACACUUAAAGAAGCUGGACAUGUUCUCUGAAGUUGACGUCUCUACCAUCGGGUUAACGCGUUUCGACGAGGACUUCCAAGUGUUUGUGGAGGUUACAAAAGCCAACAUGCUCGAAAAUGAACCAGAAAUAAAAGUCCAAGUGACCAGCCAGGUCCGGAUAGAUGUUCUGCGAGAUUCCGCACAGCCAUCACAGCCAGCACGGGCCGGUGCGUACUGCCUCCCAGAUGUAUCACCAGAUAUCGCAUUGAUUGUGAAAUCGCACCUGCCAGAGCAGCACUUCGUACUUCGCUCUAGAGUCUAACAUUGGCUGCACCAUGACCUGUACUUAUACGACAU
rnacentral:lncRNA from 1 species